rnacentral:lncRNA from 1 species
CUUGAAUGUGAGAAGGAAGAUUUUCUACAUGAGAUCUUAAAUGAAAGUCUACGAAUUCCGAGAUUUUCUCAGUCGGGUGGCCGUUUGCGGAUACAAUGGGUCUAUCAGGGUUGUUAACCUUGUGUAUUUUGGGAAGAAGAUACAAUCGACCAGGCUUGGCGUUCUCUGGUUUUAAAUAUCCGAUUGUAUCCUCAUCUAUGUGACCGUCAUUGUGCAUGGUUUGUAACGC